rnacentral:rRNA from 1 species
AUUGAACGCUGGCGGCAGGCCUAACACAUGCAAGUCGAACGAGUGGCGGACGGGUGAGUAAUGUCUGGGACACGGCCUGAGGGAGGGGGAUAACUACUGGAAACGGUAGCUAAUACCGCAUACCAUCGGAUGUGCCGAGAUGGGAUUAGGUAGGAGGGGGGGUAAAGGCUCACCUAGGCGACGAUCCCUAGCUGGUCUGAGAGGAGGACCAGCAACACUGGAACUGAGACACGGUCCAGACUCCUACGGGAGGCAGCAGUGGGGAAUAUUGGACAAUGGGCGCAAGCCUGAUGCAGCCAUGCCGCGUGUAUGAAGAAGGUCUUCGGGUUGUAAAGUACUUUAAGCGGGGAGGCGUUACCCGCAGAAGAAGCACCGGCUAACUCCGUGCCAGCAGCCGCGGUAAUUC